CAAGGCUGGCCAGCUCCAGGCUCCCCUCUGCCUGCUUCUCUCCAAAGGUGGUGCAGCAGAGGCCUCCUGCCGCAGCCUCAUCAGGAGGCUCAUCUGGUUUUGGAACAGCUGGUGCUGGGCCAAACACCGGCAGAGUCGUGGUGCAGGGCCCUGGGCUGGUGCCUCUUGGUGCUGCCAGCUCAGCCUUCUUCCAGAGCUUUCUCCGAGGGGUGGCGGGCAGGCUUUUUGCUGCACGGUGCAUUGCCUGCAGGAGCUGACGGAGAGCCAAACCCAGCAUAAACACAAUGUGCUCCAGUGUGACAGAAACGCGAUGCCAGUAAAGUCUGCACAUCCAGGUGACCCGACAGUGCAGGGAGCAAUUUCAACAGGCAACUGAAAUGAGCCAUUCUUUUGCCUGGCUUUGCUUGGUACACACAGAGACAUCAACCUGCCCCCACCGAGCCUCUCAUCUUCCCACCACAUAGAAAUAGCUGCUGCGUUUUGUCUCCUCCUGCAAUUCCCCUGGGCCUAAUUCUUCGCUCUUCUGUCUCCCCAGUCCUUCAAUCCAGUGAACACUGCCUUGUACCACUGAAAUACUGUAGAAGUCUCAUCCUGGCCACAAAGAGAAGGCAGUGACCAGGAGUGAAAGUCUGUGUCUGGUGGCCA